rnacentral:rRNA from 1 species
UACGUAGGUGGUUUUCUAAGCACGGGGUUUAAGGCAAUGGCUUAACCAUUGUUCGCCUUGUGAACUGGGAGACUUGAGUGCAGGAGAGGAAAGCGGAAUUCCUAGUGUAGCGGUGAAAUGCGUAGAUAUUAGGAGGAACACCGGUGGCGAAAGCGGCUCUCUGGUCUGUAACUGACACUGAGGCUCGAAAGCGUGGGGAGCAAACA